CAACCUGAAAAAUGAACCAGAGUACAUAUUUAUUAUACUUUGUACCAGAGCACUGCCUAAAAUCUGAAGGAGUUUGAAGUCUGAAAGCUAACACCUUUUUGACUAGGACAUAUGGUGGGCAAUGAACAUAGCCAUCCAUCCAUUCUCUGUGCCGCUUAUCCUACACAGGAGGAUAAUGAGGGAGUCACAGGGGAGCCUGGAGCCUAUCCCAGUGGACUCGGGGCACAAGGUAGGGAAUAUUCUGGAUGGGAUGCCAGCUCAUCACAGGGUGCAAUCACACACACACCAUGGAUAAUUUUGGAAUGCCAAACAGCCUACGACACGUCUUUGGAUUGGAGGAGGAAACCCCUGAAGCACAAGCAGAACAUGCAGCCCCUGAAGUGUGAGGCAACAGUGCUGACCACUAAGCCACCAGGUCCCCCAAACUCCAUAAUCAGUCAGAGUUUUCCUUUAGGGUUUUUUCGACCUGAGAAUGCAUUUAAGAUGGAAGAUUUGUGCUUUGUGGAUUCCCUGUAACAAGCUACAUUUUUUUCCAUAAGGGAUUGAAUGUUUAUAUCUGCUAAAGCAAAAGUGAUAAUAGGAAUUAACUUAAUUCCCAGAUGUUUCACAACAAUAAAUGGUUAAAAAAUA